GACCGGCGCACGGGUGCGUAACGCGUAUGCAACCUACCUUUAACAGGGGGAGUAACACUGAGAAAUUGGUACUAAUACCCCAUAAUAUCAUAGAAGGCAUCUUUUAUGGUUGAAAAUUCCGAUGGUUAGAGAUGGGCAUGCGUUGUAUUAGCUAGUUGGUGGGGUAACGGCUCACCAAGGCGACGAUACAUAGGGGGACUGAGAGGUUAACCCCCCACACUGGUACUGAGACACGGACCAG
rnacentral:rRNA from 1 species